rnacentral:rRNA from 1 species
UACGUAGGGUGCAAGCGUUGUCCGGAAUUAUUGGGCGUAAAGAGCUCGUAGGCGGUUUGUCGCGUCUGCUGUGAAAACUCGGGGCUUAACCCCGGGCCUGCAGUGGGUACGGGCAGACUAGAGUGCGGUAGGGGAGACUGGAAUUCCUGGUGUAGCGGUGAAAUGCGCAGAUAUCAGGAGGAACACCGGUGGCGAAGGCACUUUACUGGGCUAUUACUAACACUCAGAGACGAAAGCUAGGGUAGCAAAUGGG